rnacentral:rRNA from 1 species
UACGUAGGGGGCAAGCGUUGUCCGGAAUUAUUGGGCGUAAAGCGCGCGCAGGCGGCUUCUUAAGUCUGAUGUGAAAGCCCACGGCUUAACCGUGGAGGGUCAUUGGAAACUGGGGAGCUUGAGUGCAGAAGAGGAGAGUGGAAUUCCACGUGUAGCGGUGAAAUGCGUAGAUAUGUGGAGGAACACCAGUGGCGAAAGCGGCUCUCUGGUCUGUAACUGACGCUGAGGCGCGAAAGCGUGGGGAGCAAACAGG